rnacentral:misc_RNA from 1 species
GUGAAUAUUAGGGUGUCCAACUUAACUUGGAGCCCGAACUCUCACUUUCUAACCCUGUGCAUCUGUUUUUGGUUAGUAGCUCUCUUUUGAGAGUGAAACCCAUUCACUUACAAACACAAAGUCUAUGAAUGUAUACAAAUUUAUAAUAAAACA